rnacentral:sRNA from 1 species
UUUUAGCCCCGAUAGUAGCGGCAUCCUUUUUUCGUGCUUUUUUUGCACGGAAAAAGAUAUAGCGGAUAGCGGGAUUAGCU